rnacentral:rRNA from 1 species
UACGGAGGGUGCGAGCGUUGUCCGGAUUUAUUGGGUUUAAAGGGUGCGUAGGCGGUUUGAUAAGUCUGGGGUGAAAGCCCGUUGCUCAACAACGGAACUGCCCUGGAUACUGUCAGACUUGAGGACAGACGAGGUUGGCGGAAUAGAAGAUGUAGCGGUGAAAUGCAUAGAUAUCUUCUAGAACCCCGAUUGCGAAGGCAGCUGACUAGACUGUAUCUGACGCUGAGGCACGAAAGCGUGGGGAGCGAACAGG